rnacentral:misc_RNA from 1 species
AAUUCUCAACUCCUCUCGAUUGACUUCGAGUGGAGCUUGGAUAGUGGGGGCUGCCGGAGACCUGAAUAUUCGUGUUCGGGACUCGGGCUCCUCUGAAAUGUAUUGGCUUGCGGUCUGUUUUCGACUUUGCAUGACAAGGCUUUUGGCGUGAUAAUGAUCGCCGCUCGCCGAAGUGCAUGAAUGAAACCGUGCCGUGCCUCUAAUCCGUCGAUGCCUCUAUGGGGCGUCUUCUUUACGC